AACGUAGGACACGAGCGUUAUCCGGAGUUACUGGGCGUAAAGGGCGUGCAGGCGGUUUUGUAAGUUUGAUGUGAAAGCGCCCGGCUUAACCGGGCGAGGACAUUGGAGACUGCAAGACUAGAGGCAGAUAGAGGGGUGUAGAAUUCCGGGUGUAGUGGUGAAAUGCGUAGAGAUCCGGAGGAAUACCAGAGGCGAAGGCGGCACCCUGGGUCUGACCUGACGCUGAGAAGCGAAAGCGUGGGGAGCGAACAGG
rnacentral:rRNA from 1 species